GGGCUAUUAGCGCAGUCAGGUAGCGCAGCAGGCUCUUAACUUGUCGGUCGGGGGUUCGAUUCACGGAAAAUCUC
rnacentral:tRNA from 1 species